AGGUGAGUAGUUCAAUUGGUAGAGCAUCGGUUUCCAAAACCGAGGGUUGCAGGUUCGAGUCCUGUCUCACCUGCCA
rnacentral:tRNA from 1 species